rnacentral:rRNA from 1 species
UACGUAGGGGGCUAGCGUUGUCCGGAAUCAUUGGGCGUAAAGCGCGCGUAGGCGGCUAGAUCAGUCUGCUGUAAAAGUCAAAGGCUCAACCUUUGAAAGCCGGUGGAUACUGUCUAGCUAGAGUCCGGAAGAGGCGAGUGGAAUUCCUGGUGUAGCGGUGGAAUGCGCAGAUAUCAGGAGGAACACCAACGGCGAAGGCAGCUCGCUGGGACGGUACUGACGCUAAGGCGCGAAAGCGUGGGGAGCGAACAGG